UCAGUUUCCCCAGAUGUAGAGUUGUGGAUGCUAUGAAUGUCGAGUGAGUAGUAAGCAUUCUUUUUUCGAUUCAUUGUGGUAGCAUUCAGAGCAUCCACAACCUCUACUUCUGAUUGA
rnacentral:pre_miRNA from 1 species